rnacentral:rRNA from 1 species
AGUGAACGCUGGCGGUAGGCCUAACACAUGCAAGUCGAGCGGCAGCACAGUAAUAGCUUGCGGUUACAGCGGCGGACGGGCGGACGGUGCAUAGGUACAUCGCAGUCAGCGGUGUCUUGGGUGAGAACGUAGGGGCACAUACGGUAUUAGCGCAGAGGACGUACGUGGGAGAGCAUCGGAUCUUCGGAUCUCACGUGAGUCAAGGAGGCGAUGUCGGAUUAGCUAGUUGGAGGGGUAAAGGCCCACCAAGGCGACGAUCCGUAGCUGGUCUGAGAGGAUGAUCAGCCACACUGGAACUGAGACACGGUCCAGACUCCUACGGGAGGCAGCAGUGGGGAAUAUUGGACAAUGGGCGAAAGCCUGAUCCAGCCAUGCCGCGUGUGUGAAGAAGGUCUUCGGAUUGUAAAGCACUUUUGUUUGGGAAGAAAAGCAGCAAGUUAAUACCUUGCUGUUCUGACGGUACCAACAGAAUAAGCACCGGCUAACUUCGUG